rnacentral:lncRNA from 1 species
GAAAACACAGUUAUUAAUCACAUUACAAAUUCUCAUAAUUCUUUCUAAUAAAACAAAUAUUAAUCUGUUUAAUUAUAUUGAAAUACGAACGACCCAAAAUAAAAGACGAACAACAUAUAAUAAUCAAAGAGAGGCAGGUGAAUAACAUCAUAUUGCAUGCCAUUUUCAGUACGGAAAAUUGACAGCCGCAAAAAAAUAGGGAAAAAAUUCACUAUCACUUAAUUUUACCAAAAUUGAAAUGUAAAAAGAUUAGAAAUGAAAAGACUAGAAAAGCAAGGAUCACGAGGAUGAGUAUGAAGAAGAAGAAGAAGAAGAAGAAGAAGAAGAAGAAGAAGAAGAAGAAGAAGAAGAAGAAGAAGAAGAAGAAGAAGAAGAAGAAGAAGAAGAAGAAGAAGAAGAAGAAGAAGAAGAAGAAGAAGAAGAAGAAGAAGAAGAAGAAGAAGAAGAAGAAGAAGAAGAAGAAGAAGAAGAAGAAGAAGAAGAAGAAGAAGAAGAAGAAGAAGAAGAAGAAGAAGAAGAAGAAGAAGAAGAAGAAGAAGAAGAAGAAGAAGAAGAAGAAGAAGAAGAAGAAGAAGAAGAAGAAGAAGAAGAAGAAGAAGAAGAAGAAGAAGAAGAAGAAGAAGAAGAAGAAGAAGAAGAAGAAGAAGAAGAAGAAGAAGAAGAAGAAGAAGAAGAAGAAGAAGAAGAAGAAGAAGAAGAAGAAGAAGAAGAAGAAGAAGAAGAAGAAGAAGAAGAAGAAGAAGAAGAAGAAGAAGAAGAAGAAGAAGAAGAAGAAGAAGAAGAAGAAGAAGAAGAAGAAGAAGAAGAAGAAGAAGAAGAAGAAGAAGAAGAAGAAGAAGAAGAAGAAGAAGAAGAAGAAGAAGGAGAAGAAGGAGAAGAAGAAGAAGCAGAAGGAGAAGGAGAAGGAGAAGAAGAAGGAGAAGAAGAAGAAGAAGAAGAAGAAGACUAGAUGAUUCCUCACAAACACGGUAUUAAAUGGUGGAUUCAGAAUAAUUUAUUGAUGUAUCGGACUGAAUUAUAUAGAAUUUGAAAUGUAUUACGUUGAAUAUGAAAAAUAUACUCAUUCGUCUCAAAGUUUAAAAAUGAAUUUGAUCGCGGUCUAAAAAAGGCUUUUCCUAAAUUUUUCACUGAUAACAAGUAGAUGAACUAGAUAAUUGGUUUAUGCCAUAAUCUAACGAACAUGGUGAUUUACGAUGCAGACAGAGUCGGAUUUAUUCUAUGUAGGAUGAUUUCAAGUUAAAUUUAAAUUUUGAGCCCCUUAGUACUCUUAAACGAACAAACCUUAACACAACAAAACCUAACCUAAAUUCCAAAACCAUGCCCAUCCUGACUAGGGCGGCGAGGAGUGAUCAGUUAGCCAGAUUUUUUUUAUAGACAUGAUUUAAUAUUAAAGAACUCAGGAAAAUCAAAUGAAACUAAAAUAACACGAAAUGAUCACACCUGCACAACGUUAGGCUUGCUGGGUAGCCCUAGGUUGUGUGGUUUUGUUAAUCUCCAUUUUCAUACAUACAUUUUGUUCAUAAAUUAUUAGCCAAAUAAAAAGAAGCAUGUAUGAUUAAGGAGUAGUUUCCAAAUGAAAUGGAGAUUAACAAAGUCACACAGUAUGGCACUGUUCAGGUAGCGUGUCGCUAUCCAACCAGCACCGCGUUGUACAUGGUAUGGUAAUUACCACUUUAUAUUAUUUUAAUUUUAAUCGAUCUUUCUAAAUUAUUUCAUAUUAAAAUGUGUUUACGAAAAUAAUUCCCAGCAGGCCCAACCCGGGCAAUUUGCCCAGAGAACAUGCAGAAUGACUGGAUUAUUAUGGGGGGAAAAAUAUGCCGAAUGACUCACACUAAGACUCAAUCCACCAUUAAUACAAAUUGACAGAAAAUGGUCCCUAAAACUGAACUUGUCAUUUUCAAUUCAUAGAGUCGACAUAAAAUGAAAUCAUGAAUAAGGCACACUAUGCAAGUAGCUGGUAGCGGUAGGGUAUUUUAAUUUAAUCAUCCAUCAAUCUAUAUCUAACUUAUUAAGGGCAAUGAAUUUCGAAUUACGGAGUUUCGAAUUUUUGUUGGUUGUUUUGAUUUCUAGUUUGGUAGUUUUUAAUUAAUUUUUUUUAGAAUAAUUGGAAGUACGAAUGUAUUAACUUUCUCUAUCCAUUUAAGGAUAUGCGCUUCACCCGUUCUGUUAAGUGUUGUUAGACAUUCUCACUCCCAAAAGCUAGUUUGAUGAGUGAGGCUUCCCCUCACACUUAUAAAUAACACCCAACUCCUUCCAUUGAUCUCCAUUCUAUCGAUAAUUCAUUUGAUGGAAUGAGCAUCUAUGACGACCCUGCUAACAGGGGUGGAAUUAGGGUGUGGUUGGGGGAGUCUCGGCUCAUCCGAGUUCCGGCCCCGACCAUUAAUUUUGGAGGUAUAUUUACAACUUUACGUGUUCGGUUCAGGGUAAUUUUGAUCUCGACUCAGUGCUUGAUCAUGUUAGGACUUUAGGGACCUAGUGAGAGUCCCGACUAUCUUAUUUUCUGGUCUAUAGUACUAAAUUAUAUGUACAAUUUUGAUAAUUUGAAGUUCUGGUCUUCUACUUAUUUGUUUAGACUAAGUAACAAUUAUAAAUGUAGUUCCAAAUAUUCAAAUAUAAGACAUAAAACACGUCGGUGACACAUAUAUUAUAUUUAACUAAAAACUACAAUGAAUUUGUUUUUAUUUUAAAUUAUUAUUAUGAUUAAUUCAUCAAAUAAUUACUCAUUAAAUAUAUAAAUUUUCAAUUAAAAUCCGGCUUAUCCGAUUCUGCCAUAACUACUAAUUAUAACCCUUUCAGAAAAAAAGUUGGUAUGUAGAAGUGUCAACCUGGCCUAGUCAGCACGUGAUACGUACUGAAUACAGGUAUUUUGAUAGGUGAUGAAAAUGAAUACUCAUGAAUGAUAAUGAAUAAUUUAUUUGAUAAAAAUGACUAAAAUGAAUAGACUAGAAAAGCAAGGAUCACGGGGGAAUAAGGAAAACCAGGAGAAAUAAAACAGGGUCCCAGGCUGGCAGCAUCAGCAUCCGGAUUUCCGGGGGCUGCCGCCGGCCGAUCUGUGGACGAGUCUGGAGCAGAUUUGAAAUCCAGACGAAAAAGAAUUUUAGGAUUUCUAAAAUAAUUCUGGACCGUUAUAUUUUAUGAAUUUUAAAUUUAACGAUUUUUAUAAAAAAAGCACAAAAAGAAAUUUAACAAAAAAAAUUUAAUUUAUUAUUUAUUUCGAGUUUGAGUUUAGUUAGUGUUUGGGUUUUGGGUUUUAGAUUUUGGGUUUGGAUUUUAAAUUUUGAAUUUUUAAGUUUAGCGUCUAGAUUAUUAGGUUUUCAAUUUUAGAUUUUAGAUUUUGAAUUUUACAUUUGGGUUAUUAAAAAGCUGAAAAUCUAAAAAUAAAAAAUAUUUCGGAAAUACUAUAAAUACCUUACAAUCAAAAAUCUUGAAAAUCCUGAAACCUUUUUGCCUGAAUUUAAAACCGUUCUCGACGAGUCUUCACACGAACAACUACCUACGGCGCCUCCAUUUACUACUACUACAAGACCAGUCAAUGCAUUGCCCUCGUGAAUACGCGUCCACGCUUACUCUUUUAUUUGCUUAGAAUAUAAUCAUCGUGUAAUUUGAUUUGGAUUUGGUAUCUUAUCAUGAUCUAUUAUUUCCAGUCAACGGAUAUGAUAUACAUCCGUUAAAGCUACAGUACUGCUGAGUUAGCCUAAUCACACCUAACAUUUUGAUGCAUUGUAUAUCCGACUACGUAGGCAUUUGAUACAUCGGCGAACCAGGCCGGAACAAGUGUGUGUGGUGACCGAAAUUCGGAUUUUGUAUCUCGAAACAUGGAUGACGGCUGUUUUUAGAUGGCUUUGGGGGAUUGGUGAUUGACCACUCGAACGGGGACGAAACGAAUGAUUUUGUUAAUUAUGUUUGUAUAUCAAGUUGAUCAUGACUUCUUUAUGAUGGAAGACCUAUAAGUGCUACCGGAGAUGGUAGAGCGAACAUGCGACAUGAUGUAUUAUGUGUAAGACUCAAAUUUCAUCUCAUCUGCAUCGUAACUCUACAUUGCCAUGUCAAGUAUCAGUAGGGACUCUACACACACUCAAUCUUUCUCGUUAAUGUUGGAACUGAUCGAUGUUGGUUAUCGAUUGUAAAAUUUAAUAUUUAAUUUUACUUGGGAUCUAUUUUUAUUUUAUACAAUCAAUAAAUGGAAUAAUUUAGUUUGUAACAGUAUAUGUAGGUGGUUCGAAUAUAAUAUUGAGUUUGAAUCGAAUCGCAACCUAAAACCAUUUAUCCUCAAACUAAUCCAAAUUAAAUAUAUGGCUUUUCUUAAUUCUGAUCCUUGUCUGAAUCGACCGGGUCCAAAAACGACCACGUACCAUGAUUGGGAAUUUUGGAGUGUAGUCAACUUCACAGGCACCCUUCUCUCCUAUCCGUCCAAGUCUUUGUAUCUCCCUUUCCAAGUGGCACCUUUUUUUUUAAUGGCAAAACUAUCCUCGAUUUUGUUUCUUCCUAACUCUCUUGUACGGAUGAGAUCUAGCUUUGGCCGGUUUGAUUGGUCGGUAUGGUCUGUUUCGGAUGAGUAAUAUUUGACCCGCGAUAUGGGUAUUAGUGUAUUAAGAUAGUCGAUAGACAUGAGUUUUCUUAAUACUCUGUUUUAUUGCGAAACGACUAAAAUGAAUGCGGUCGAGAGUGUCCGAUGACAUCUUACCAAAAAAGUAGACAUAGAGUAGUUAAAUAUAACAUAAAUAGUAAACAAGAAAUUAGUAUAUCCGAGUCAAGAUGUGCACAUAAACUCUUUUGUCGUAGGCAACUGUGAAAUGAAGUUGUGGGAGGAUAUGCGGGCGGCCGAUCUAGUAAAACGAAGGAUUGACUAUAAUUGUGUCGUCCUCCUCUCUGCCAAUCACUUCGUGAGGCAAUUCAAGUAAAUCGCUUCUACUAAUUUAUCUACUAAUCAUCGAAAAAUGUCAUCUGAAUCGUCAAAACGUAUGAACGCGUAGUUUUACUUAUCGAAUACCUUACAUUAGACUAGUAACAAGUCAACUUUAGUACCUUGCUAGUAGUUGUACACCCAUACCCUACAAUGUGUCCUCAAUUCUGUAUAUUUUUUUCUUGGCAUGAAUAAGAUCCUCAAUUUAAUUAAAUUACCCCCAAUUUCCAACCCUAUAAAGCACCUCCCUUUGCCUCAACUUUCCUCCUCAUCUUCUCCCCUAUCAAUCAGCCCCAAAACGUGACCAGUAACCCAAAUUGAAAGCCUCUGAAACAUUUCAAAGACUCGAUCUUUCAUCGAUUUGAGCUCCUGGGUUAUACUCAUUCAGCUUUAACAAAUGGCGCUGCAGCUGUUCUUCACGGUGGCUUUCUCAGCCGUGCCUUUGACUCUGUACAUUCCGCCGGUGAGGAGCUUGAACAUGUUUGUGGAGACGAUGGAGGAAGCCGUCAGAGAAUCCAGACUUUACUCAGUUAGGUACUACCCAGCCGCCAGGCAAGUCUGGUCAAGGCUCUGGACCAGAUUCCUCCGCCAUUUACGGUUCCUUUGAAGCUCCUGGAAUCCAUAUGUAACCCCAUUUACUCUGUACAUUCUGCAGUUUUUGUUCCCUUUGUUUUCUCCUUUUGCCGGGGGGUUGUUGUUGUUGUGUUUUCUUUUUGUGGUGAGAUUGUUGUAGAGAAUCCAGGAUGGUUUUUAGAGAUGAAUGAUGAUGAGUUCUGUUCUGUCUCCCCCCCCCCCUCUUCUUUUGUGUCCUGUUUUCCUCAACUAAUUGACAUGUUGGUAGAUCUAUAGAUUGAGAUAUCCCCAGAAAGCUGCUAUCUUUUUCCAGAUUCCAUGGUUAAAAUUCAAUUGGGUGCUACUCAUCCUGCAUUUCCAGGAAGAAACUAGUGAAUUAGUCACAUCAUUGAAAGAAUUCGGUACAUCCGAUCUCCAGUUUACAACGGUACCAACUGAGCUAUUCCACGGACCGAUAAACAGAAAAGAAUACAACUUUUAUCAAAGAGUAACAUACUAACUUACAUAGUUAACAUCAUCAACUCUUUUGACUAGGUUCAUUGAAUCUAAGUACUCAUCAAGUGAUCAACUUGGGUUCCUCACAAUAAAAGCCAGAUAAGAAAAAGACUUUCUGCAUCAUGCAUAAUCUCAGUUUAAUGCCCCCACAUGGCCACAUUGCAAAGAAGAUUGAUGCUGAUGAACUUGGCUAGUUUCCUUGUAUUCAAAGGCUGUCUCUUUGUUUCGGUUUGAACUGAAACUGACCAAAAUUUCGGCCACGGUCAUGUAAUUUGACUUUAUAUGAUUAUAACCGGACGAAUUUGUUCACUUACUUGCUUGAUUGGCGGGAUUGAAUGGUCGAGUCAGAUUCGGUUUAUCUGUUAACCAACCCAUUCCUGCCCCCACUUUGGCAGAAGCUGCGAGUCAAAGGGAUGAACAUUGCAGAACUCCAAUUAUUGACUACUGAGUGAUGGAAGAUAUUGAUUGAAGUGGCAUAAAGAGGAAGUAAAAUGUAAAUGUCAUGGACCCCUUCACCGAUUUGGAGAAGAAACUCCAAAACUUGCAUUUGGAUGUCGGCAACAUACUGAUAAGUUCUUCUGAUAGACCUCUGCUCUCGGUUCAUACUGCCUUGCCCAAGUCCAGUAGUUCCUGUGAACACACAUAAUACAUCCGACUGAACAAAUUCUCGAUGGCAAUGUUGUUCUUAGUGCAAGUUGCACUGUAAUGGCUUCAUUGGUAGACCGAGUUCAGUGAAAACACUUAUUUUAGGUACCAACAAAAUUAUUCGAUGUAUCAAUCUUAGUCUAAUAUGUACCGAACAGGCGAACACGGAUAUUAUAUGCCAACAACAUAUCCAAACUAGUACCAAAGAAAAAGACCGAUCUAGUGGAGUGGCAUCAUGCAAUGUAUGAAAUUUUUUUGAAUAGAGGGAACCAUCAAAAAAGCUAAAGAAUUCCGAUACUACAAAUAAUUCCAUUUACAACCCAAAACCAUCUACUAGCAGCAAAAAAGAACACAGCAAAUGUGACAAUAUCCUAAAAAUGACAGAAUUCGGAGAAAUCCAGACAGCAUCCGUAUUAGCAGUGCAUUCAAUGGCCCCUCUUUUAACAUUUUAAACAUUUCUUCCCUUCGUUUUCUUUUCUUUUCUUCCUUCUCCUAUGUGUUUCUCUUCCUGCUUUCUCCUAACUCUUCUACCUCACAAUUGACAAGUCUCUCUGCAUACUAAAAAUCUCUACAUGUGGAAGACAAAACCAACAAAAACAAAGCAAGCAGCCUUUUAGUGUUUCUCCAGGUUCGUGUUCGAUGUUCUAGUCCCUCGAUUCCUUGCCAAAUACUUCGUUGUUGCAGACAGGGCAGACCUGAUGAGAGAGAUCAUAUAAUGUUAGUGGAAUGAUCAGAAUGGCAAAAGGCUGCAGAUUAGUAGGUAGUUAGUUUGAAGAGACCUUGUUGAUCACAAGCCAUUUGGUGAUGCAUUCGGAAUGGUAAGUGUGCUUGCAAGGCAGUUUCGUCUGCUUCUCCCCUCGUUUAUAUCUCAUCUGGCAUAUCACGCACCUGUUUUUGCGACACAAUAUUUUGAAUAAAGAGCGAAUUUCGACAUGUUCGUUUUAAAAUGUGCUUAUGUCAUAUGUUUACUUUACCUCUCUCCUGACUUCCUUGAGAAGAAACUCCCGAACUUGCAUUUGGAUGUUGGCAACGUACUGAUAAGUUCCUCAGACAGACCUCGGCUCUCGGUUCCUACUGCCUCGCCCAAGUCCAGUAGUUCCUGCGAACGCACAUAAUAAGUCAUAAGAGAAAAAUAACUAGUUAUGAAGAAAAAACAAGUUGCAUGAAGGAAUAACUAGUUAUACAAUUAAUAGUAAAACUACAUGUAUUCAUGGACUCGGUGAGAUUAGGAUAGUCAAUGAACAGGCAUUUUACACUCCAAUCUAUAAUGGAAUAGGGUACGAAGCAAACCUCGUAGGUCAUGUUAUCUGGAUCAACGUCAUCCUGCCACACAUCCUGCCAGAAUACACAAUCAAGCUUGACCCUUUACAAUCUUAUGCAUAGGAAUUUCGAGUAAAUUCAGAGAGCUUCUUACCUGGGGACUACUGCUGCCUGGAUUAUCUGUUAUGCCUACAUAACCAGUGAGUAAGUUUCAGGACUCAUUUUCAGAUACCAAUUGCAUUCUUACUGCGUUGUGUCUAUUGUGCUUGCAAAGUCUAACAAGGGCAUUUGAUUGUGGAACACAGCAGACAACAUAUGAUACAAAAGAUAUACAAUUGGACUAGGUUCGAGAUGGAAUUGACUCACAUUCUUCGGGUAUAGAGCAUAAAUCUGCGAUGGCUUCUUCUUCAGAAUGCACUUCUGUUGUGGUGGGGUCUUCGACAUUUGCCACGGAGGGGUAUUGCCAAGAUCUAGUGCUAAUGCUGACAUCAAGUCUUGGUAAAUUCUCAUUAACUUCAUAAGGGUCAUAGUAAGACAUGCUCUCAGGUCCGGAAUAUCCAUAUUUGUAAGCACUCGCGUUCAUCGACCAAUAUGAAUUGUCCUGCACAUAAAAGCAAACAAAGAUCCAAACUUUUAGUCUUUAACAGUGGUUCAGCAACAACUAACCAUCAAACAGAAUGUCUGAAUUACAGGGAUUCAUCUACAGGGUCUUGCUAACUAUAAACAGCCACAAAAGUCAAAAAGUUUUCAGAUGCUAUACCAUCAUCAAAAUGUACAAACCAACAUUAUGGAAAUAGCAACUUACAUGAUCAUGAAGCUGUUCGGUAUGAACGUAAUUGACAGGCACUUGUGAGUAACCAUCGAAAAACUCCAUAUAGCUCUCCGUUGCGGUGUAAGGAAAUCCAUUAUUGAUGUAAUGCAGCUCCGUUUGUCUAUCGUCGUUCAUCUUGGAUCCGCUAUCAAGGAAAAGAAUUUAGGAAGACAAACCUGCAAAUGAGUAGGCCGAAACGAUAAGUCAAAAACAGAUUUCAAGAAUGAGUUUCGUUUACAGGAAAGGCAGCCUAAAGAAGGAGACAGAAAAUCCUUGAAUAUGAUAAUAAACAUAGUUUAGUCACAUUUUCUUACAGUGUUCACAAUCUUCAGCACAGUUUCACCACUCAACAUCAACAAUGCCAGACCAUCCAGACUUCCAGGGAUUCAAAUCAAAGCAUUGGGUAGCCUACACAAACACAACACUUCAUUCACUCGACAAAAAGUGCACAAAAUUUCCAAACUUGGGGCCGCAUUAGUAAAUACUGAUACAAAAGUAAGAAACCAUAAACCUUCCAACAUUGUAGCUCAAAAACCAAAAGGACUCGGUCAACACAAAGAACAAAGCUCUUUCAUCCUCCACUUCCAUGACCACAUAAUGCUAACAAAAACACAAAAAGCUACGAGCUUUCUGGUGUGUUGUUUUACAGAAGAUGAUUUCUACAUUCUCUUAAGCUAAAAAAGUGCAGUAAACCAGUUAGUUACCUCAUUCAGCCACUGAAACCCUCGGCACCAAAACAACAACCUGGAAAACCCCAGAUAGAACACAAAGCACAAACCUUUGGUCAAAAUUUCAAGGGAUCUGAACCCAGAAGAUGGGUAAAAUUAAAGUUUGAGACAUUGUGAUGGAAGAACCAAGAAGAUAAACCCACCUUGAGAAAGACGAAGAUGGGUGAGAGAGAGUGAAUGAAUGGGAAAUGUGAAAGCCGUGUGUGUAUGUGGAAAUCCUUUAUUCUUUCUUUCUUCUUCUCGCCUGCUCAGAAGGGAAUGGUUUGUUUGCUACUUUUCUUGUGGGUUUGGGUUUUGGGUUUCACAGUGCUCUUUCUUUCUCUACUGCUGCUGCUGCUGCUGAGUGUGGCUCUGUGGUUGUGCUGCAGAGAGGAGAGUGAGACUGAGUAGUGUGUUUUGUCUUUCUGCAAGGGGCCGCUUUUUGUGCUGCUUUGCUUUUGUUUUUUCUCUUUAUUAUAUCUUUGGAUGAGGGAAAGGCAGCAGCUUUGCGCGUUAUGCGGCAUCGUUUUCCCCGUUUCAUCUGGUGUACCCAAUACCAAACUACACAGUUACACACCAAAUUUUUGAAAUCUCCUGUUUAAUACUAGGAAUUUUAAAUGUUCGAAAAUAUGGAUCAUCUCGGUCAAAAGGCUCUGCACGUUGAUGCAAGUCCACGCCUUUUUUUCGAACCCGAUAGGCAUGCUGCUGUAUAUAGUGUCACCCUCCAUCAGGGGUCAUUCACCUCAUCAAUCUACAAAGGCAUGCCCGAUUUAGGAGGUCGCUCGCUCGUUCUCCUGCAGGCCUAGAUAAUUUCACGUCGGCGUUCAUCUUCGACAAAUCAAACCUUCCUCUACUCGCCGUUCACGACGUGACACAUGUAAAUCAGAGUCAUACCACCAUGGUCCUGUAUAUAAAAGGCUUCUCAGCCGCAGUAUUAAAGACAUGCCAUUAAUAGCUAGGAUACACGCCUUCCAUACGACGAGGUUUACUCUCGCUCAUGGAGCUACACACCUCAGUUCGAUGAUCUCCCUCAAAAGGAAAACUUACCGGAACACAUCUGUCUCCCCUAAAGUCAAUAAAUUUAAACCCCUAAUACACUCUCUUAUUACAUAUUUUCGUCUACCUUACAAGAAACCAUCUACUAAGGAUUCGAAUGGCACCAUAGCUCGAGGAAAGACAUCACAAUUAGAUACCGAUCCUUUAAUCGAACCACAACUAUUCAUUUGAAUCCGAAACAAGUAUGCUCAACUCAACUUACUCACUAGAGAUCAACUUCAUGGGUCGAAAGCUAGCUAGCAGGGUUGUAUCUUUUCUCAAGAUUUGUGCACCUUCAAGGAACAGAGAAUGUUUUUCUUUUCGUUUUUCAUUUACCUUUCUUCUUCUUCUUGUUGUACAUUUAUUGGGGAAGUACAAAACACCACAAAGCCCGAGUAAGCAGCACCCAGUAGAAUUACAGAGACCUACUUUUUGCUUUUGUGUUUGUUUGUUUAUUGUUAGUUUCCUUUCUAAUUCGAAUCGAAUCACUAAACACUAAAUUCUUUAAAAUAUCGAUUGAACUUCAAUCCAAUUUCGAAGACGAUCGGUAAUAACUAAGAAGAGCUCAAAUCAUUUCACAGAACGACACAAGUACAUUUUCCCCGCAAUUCAACAAAAAAGAUUGUGGCUUAACAAUCAUAAUACCCCCACAAUGAUUUUUUCAGCCACACAUUGAUCUUUCCAGCCUGAAAGCUACAUUUUCCCAAGUUACCGACCUGAUUACAAGUGUCAUUGGUUCGGACGUUAGCUUCUUCUUCUACUUCUUGGUUUGACCUAUUGAAAAGAUAAGACGACAUUCCCAUAGAAUAGGAUGCUAGGCAUGUUUCUAUGCUUGGUUGGUUUGGUGUGAAAAUGGGAAAAAUCUAAAGUGAAAAGAAGAAAAAAUAAAGCCGGUUCCACAGCCGGUGGAGUUGACAGAGCAGAGCAGGCGGCCACCACCCCACCACCGAUGAGAGGUGACUCGGUCAGUGUGCUUUGUGUCCUCUCAUUAACGCAAUCCCCUCCGCACCAUCUCUCUAUGGCCUGCGUUUCCCCCGAUGAUGCUACAAGAAUUUUAGUUUGUGAAUAAGAUUUUAACAAUAUAAGGGGACCUCCGAGUUCGUCCACCUCUGGUUCGACCCAAAUUGUCCAGUCUAGUUUGUAUAGGUGACCACCCAACACGGUUCAUUUCGUCGCAUUGGAAGUUUGUCAUCCUUUGUGUAGUUCGACUUGUGAGUGUAGGUUUAUAUCUAAGAGCGGCAUAGUAAGAACCACUAUAAGAAACAGAGAGUUUAUAGCCAUAUAGGCACCAGAAUAUCGAUCCAUCUUCGGACCAAGUUUGUGAAAUGAAUUAACCAAUUUCAUUGUUGAUCCUUUAACUAGUGGAUGUCAAGAGUUAUUCAUAACCUGUUGUCUUUGAAACGUGCCGUAGAUUGGCUAUGCACUUCCUCCAAAUCGAGUUUGUUCCUCUUGACCGAUCGGUUGGUUGAUCGAUGCUAAGGUUUUCGCCUCAAUGUCUCGUCAACUCGAGAUUCUGAAUGUAUGAGCCUCAUCCAUAUGGCCGACUUUAGUCGUCCUCUCUGAACUAGGCAUUUCUGAAGCGGACAGAGUCGGUUCCAUCACAACCUUGACGUAGGCCACGAGAUACCAAACAGACGGUCAUGGGAACAAUACCAUGGUUCCGCGGGAUCAAGAAUGCGCCUUAUUAGCAAGCUAGGAACUAUUCCUUGGCUGCAAACCACUGAAAUCAUCAUCUUCAGGUACACCACCCAACACAGAGUAACCCAACGAAGCUAAGGGACCAAAUUGGAGAAAGGAUAAAGAAAGGCAAAUCGAAAUUGAAACCAAGGAAAAUGUAAUGAAGAUAAUGGCUCACCAAAUCAAAAGAUCCGAUAGUGGCACAUUAAGCCACAAAACUAUGACAAAUUUCUCAAUCCAAAAUUCUGAAGUGAAAGCAUACGUUCAGGGGGGCGUUCAUCCCCACACUACCCUCAAAAAAAUUUGUAAUUAUUAGAAACAAUCACAUCGUCUGCAAGGAUAAAGUUCUCCCCCCAGGAAGUGAUAGAUUUUCAUCAACAUCUAAAGAAGGGCUAAAUGAAACCUGCAGGAUACCGGAAUUAACCGCUGCCUGAUCCGUACUUCUUGCCGAAAACAAGUAACUGCAACUUGUCGUAACCGGAGAGCACACCAGCACCAGCAACGGCACGGAGGAUGUUGGCUCCAGCACCCUUGAAGAGUGACUUGGUUCCCUCGUUCUUAACAAUCUGCUUGAAUGCAUCGAGCGAGCUCUUGUACUUCACGGCUUCACCGGAGGUCAUCAUCAUUCUUCUGCGGACAGUGUCAAUUGGGUACGAUGCAAGACCAGCACCGUUGGUGAUCACCCAUCCAAGGGCAAAGCUAGCGAAGAAACUAUCCUGCAAAAUUGCCAGUGAUGCAGUAAUAGAAUUGUCAAAGAUAGUCCAUAUAGAGACUAAUAUUCAAACUCAAAAACAAAGGAUAAAUAUUAGAUACAUAAGUGAAAAUGAGAAACAUGUUACUGACCUGCAGGUUUCCAGUCAAGAGAACAGGCUUAAGAGAGUCGUACAUUCCAAAGUAGAGACCACGGUACACGAUGAUUCCGACACAAGAAAUGUUGAACCCACGGUAGAGUCCAGCAAUACCAUCUGAGGCCAAAGUCUUCUUGUAGACAUCAACCAGACCAUUGAAUUGCCUCUCACCACCCUUCUUUGCAGCCUUGGCAUCAUUAGCCAAUCGGGUUCUAGCAUAAUCCAGAGAGUACACAAAGAGAAGUGAAGAUGCACCAGCAGCACCACCGGAUCCCAAGUUUCCAGCAAACCACUUCCAGUAACCAUCCUUGUCCUUCUUGAAGUUGAAGAGUCUCUUGAAGUAAUCUUUGAAGGCAAAGUUCAAGGCCUGGAAGAGAAGAAUUACAAAAGUGAGAAAAGAGAAAAAAUAUCGACAUAAUCAACACAAAGGCACAACUUUGCUAACCUGAGUGGGGAAAUAACGGAUGACAUUGGCAGUGUUACCCCUCCACAAUGAACCAAAACCUUCUUCUGCGAUGGUUCUCUUGAAGCACUCACCAAUACCUUUGUAGGGUUGAGCAAGUCUUCCAGUUUUGAUCAUCUCAUCCUGGUUCUGGAUCAAUAGCUUAACACGCUCAAUGGGAGCAGCAGCAGUUUUUGAGACGGCUGCAGAAACUCCUCCCAUUAGGAAAUCUGAAACAGCUGCAGACACUCCUCCCAUAAGGAAAUCAAUGGCAAACCCUGCCAAUCCUUUCUCGGAUGGAGCCUGGACGAAAACAGGGGAUGCAACAGCAGUUGAAGCUCCGGAGUACUGGAAUGCCGCAUUGGAGUAGUUUCCAUAUGCACGUCUUUGAGACAAGGCAGGCCUCUGGAAGGCACCAUUGUACCUCUGAACAUCCUGGGAGAGGUACUGGCAGGCAACCUUCUGCAUGACAGUGGGGUGUUGAACCUGAUCAACCAUUGUUACUCUCCCUGCAAAAAGAAGAGGCACAGAAAAAAAAGCCAAAGCCUUCGUUAGAGACAAAUUCAGGAUUUACUUUGCACAGAUCGACUAGCAAGCCAAGGAAUUUAGACACAAAUAAAAACAUAACAUAAUAGCACAAUAAAAUACAGAUUCACAUCAAUACGCAGACAACUGUAGCAAUCGAGAUAGUACGUAGGUCCUACGAUCUGACAUUGGAACAGGAAAUUUAACCAAAAGAGACCAAUCGACAAUGAAAAUUCACAAGGAGAUAAGAAUAAGGUCAAAACAUCUGAAGGAGAUGCUUGAAAAGCUAACAAAUGGAGCACAAGCCAGGGUCAAAUCAUAUCACAAAGGAAUUCUUCAGUCAUCAAACACAAAUAGCUGCUGUUUUAUUCAUUUGAAUGGUUAUAACAAUAGAAAAAAAACAAGAGAAGCAACACAGAUAACGCAAUCAAACAGAUCCUCCAAAUCGCAUAAACAACAAGAACAUGGCCCACUCGAUUAAAUUUUCAAAUCUCCAUGAUUACUGGAGCACAGUUCUCGAUUAAACAAUCAAAAUCUCGUGAUCAACGAGAAGCAAUUCUACAAAAUAAACAAGCUUGCAGACCUAAAGAAUAAGGGAAAACGAGUUCCUCAACGAAGUUAAACGAACCACAACAAGAAACAAUAACAAAAUCGGAAUCAAUAUCCAAAUCUGAUUCAAAAUAAAAUAGAACGGCAACGAUCUAAUCACCGGCAACCAGAUCCACAAGCCAAAACAGUUCUACCAGCACAAGAAAUCACCAAAAACUUCUCUACAUGAACAGAUUGAAAUAAACGAAACCACGCAAUAUCAGAUCUGAAGGUAAAAUCUACCGAUCAUGCAAAGACGAAAUCUCAAAAGAUCUGAGCACAAAGAACAUUAAUUGAUCAAUUCAAAAAGUGAAGGAAACAACGAGAAUCAAGCUACAAACCUGAAAAUGAAGCUGGAGAUUCAGACGAUGAGCGGAACAAGAGAUGAGGGAGGGAGAGAACUAAGGCUGCGUACUGCGAAGUGAAACUACGGUUGGGUUUUUAUUGGGCAAUUGGGCUGACCUCGGGAAAUUCGACUAGGUGGAUUGCGAUACGAUAGGAAGUGGAGUUGGGUACCUAACGAUGCAGACGCAGCCGUAUCCGUUGAUUUCCGCUGCGAGUUAAUUCUUACGUUGAUUUGGAUUAAUUUCGUUUAUUCGUUCGUGAAUCCAAAGAUCUAUCUUUACUUAAAAUUUCAUGAUUGAUUCCGGUAGGGAUAAACUCUCUAGAAGGUACAACAUUUCACUUAAUUAGCAAAUGUACUACCAACUUGAACAGAUUAAUCUUCACAUCCCAUGACUAUCAAUGGCGAAAUUGUACCGACUCUCGGAACAAUUAUUUAGGUGGAACUCUCUAAGUAUUAUUGGUUGCAAUAUAAUUCUCGAGAUAUCUAGAUGUUGAUCGAUAAUAAUAUGAAGUAAAAUUCAAAGUGAAAUUCUUGUUUAGUAUAGGUAAGUGGAAAUAGAUUUUAUUAUGCAAUUACGUAGUUGCCCUUAUUUUGUUGACUAACGCCAUCAGUUCUCACCUUCAAACAAUUUUCAAUUACAAGAACAAGCUUACAUGAAGAAGCUACAAUUACGGAAGGCAACAUGAAUAACUGAAAGGGACAAAGACGGUGAAUCAGCCAAUCAAAUGUAUAGACCGACCGUUCUUCUACAACGUAUGCGCUACAAUCAAUGAUGUUCCAACUAGUUCUAUUCAGGAGAUGCAAUUCUUCCGAACAAGCGAGAGAUUGAGUGAGGUUUAUCGUCAGAACAAGCUGAGAGAAUGAAAGCGCCAAUCGCGGCCAUCAAAUCGCGGAAUAGGACUGAAUUUGGACAUACAAAAAAAUUACAAGCACAAGAACAAUCGAAUACCUAGUUACUUAUCGAAUAACUUAUAUAUGUCAAUACCACUGAAUGUCUGGUAUACCAAACGACCUCUUAGUUUAUUGCAAUCACUAUUGAUGUUAUACAUUGCAACUGCAAGGGUCAAGAAAGAUCCAAUGGAAGAAAAUUCAUGAUGAUUGAAAUGAGUGGAGACUGCUCUUUAGACUUUGAAAUUUCAAUGAAAGUAUUCCCACUUUAAAAGAUGAUUGUUGUUUUUGGACCGUUCAUCGUGGAGAAAGGUCAGCAUCUAGUUUUUUAUUCUUAAGAACAAUUUCAUUAAAGUCAGUUUCCAAUAGUGAGAAUCAGCGGUGAUGGAGAGUAACAUGCUUACUAAGAUCAUACGUAAAUAAACAAUUCUGCACAGUACAUUUUUCUUUUGUUAACUAUCAACAAGAAACACAUUUGCUUGCCAUUGUUGCCAUUAUAAGAUCAGAGAACUGCCAGUAAAACCAGUCCAACAGUGCCAGGUCUUCGAGUAGCAGCUAGGCAAAUGAGCAAAAAGCAACACCAAAUUGAAACCAACGAGAACAGUAUUGAAGAUUAUGGCUCACUGAAACAAAGUUCCGAGAGUGGCAAUGGCAAAAGUUUACAACUUUAUCAUUCCAAAAUUCCGAAGCGAAAUCAUACGUUCAUGGGGGGCAUUCAUACCACCUCCCCAUACCCUCGAAAAAAAUUGUAAUUAUUAAAAUGAUCACUUAGUCUUCUAGGAAAAAGUUCUCCGCUCAGGAAGUGAUAGAUUUUCAUCAACAUCUAAAGAUAGGCUAACUGAAACUCGGAAUUAACCGCUGCCUGAUCCAUACUUCUUGCCGAAAACAAGUAACUGCAGCUUGUCGUAACCGGAGAGCACACCAGCACCAGCAACGGCACGGAGGAUGUUGGCUCCAGCACCCUUGAAGAGUGACUUGGUUCCCUCGUUCUUAACAAUCUGCUUGAAUGCAUCGAGCGAGCUCUUGUACUUCACAGCUUCACCGGAGGUCAUCAUCAUUCUUCUGCGGACAGUGUCAAUUGGGUACGAUGCAAGACCAGCACCGUUGGUGAUCACCCAUCCAAGGGCAAAGCUAGCGAAGAAACUAUCCUGCAAAAUUGCCAGUGAUGCAAUAAUAGAAUUGUCAAAGAUAGUCCAUAGAGAGACUAAUAUUCAAACUCAAAAACAAAGAAUAAAUAUUAGACAC